AGACAGUGGACACUGGUCUGGGGAGCAUUGGAGACGGUCGGUAAUCUCACAGAAUACCACUGAGGCAGCGAGGGAGUAUGGAGGUGGCCGGCAAGCAAUGCAGGCAGACGCCAAGGGAGCAGUUUCUGUAGUGAUGUUGGUGCGUGAGGGAGCAAUGCAGGAACAUUAGAGAGCAGCCCCAAUGGACCCCAGGGACAAGAUCUACUUCAGCUCUCCGAAAGG